AUGUGGGGACAGAUGAUGGUCCUCAAUGAACACGAAGCCCCUGCACCGAGGCCGAUCCCUUGGAACGCGGAGGCUCCUCGUGCCUACUUAUUUGCCCGGGCUUCUAAGACCCACACGAAAAGGAGCCCAAGGCGGGGCACCUUCUGCUAUUCAAGUGGGUGUCUGUGGCCUAACGUAGACGGUGCAAGUUUCUUGUCUUGAGACUUUAUUAGCUUUCCGUGUAAACCAAGGAAUAUCAGCCUCUUUUCUCCACUAAUUUUCCUACUAUACUAUUCUUUCCUAAUCUCUCUGUAUAUUUCUAAAUAAAUAAGUUUUUCCUCGCUG
rnacentral:lncRNA from 1 species